AUUGAACGCUGGCGGCAGGCCUAACACAUGCAAGUCGAACGGUAACAGGAAGAAGCUUGCUUCUUUGCUGACGAGUGGCGGACGGGUGAGUAAUGUCUGGGAAACUGCCUGAUGGAGGGGGAUAACUACUGGAAACGGUAGCUAAUACCGCAUAACGUCGCAAGACCAAAGAGGGGGACCUUCGGGCCUCUUGCCAUCGGAUGUGCCCAGAUGGGAUUAGCUAGUAGGUGGGGUAACGGCUCACCUAGGCGACGAUCCCUAGCUGGUCUGAGAGGAUGACCAGCCACACUGGAACUGAGACACGGUCCAGACUCCUACGGGAGGCAGCAGUGGGGAAUAUUGCACAAUGGGCGCAAGCCUGAUGCAGCCAUGCCGCGUGUAUGAAGAAGGCCUUCGAGUUGUAAAGUACUUUCAGCGGGGAGGAAGGGAGUAAAGUUAAUACCUUUGCUCAUUGACGUUACCCGCAGAAGAAGCACCGGCUAACUCCGUG
rnacentral:rRNA from 1 species